UCUUACUUGCUUUUUCUCUGAACUGAAAAAAUCCCAAAUGCCGCAACCUUUUCUCAUAGGGAAGUUUCUCCAUUUUGGUUGCCCAUUUCUAUACCUUUUCCAACCCUCCAAUAUCCUGUUUGAGUACCAACAGCAUGCCAGUACCAUGACAAACAGUGCAGAAGUUAGAAGUUACGGCCUCAGAAUUGGAACCAAGUUUGCAGUCCCAGAGGGACAUUGGCAUUAGGAAGAACUGAGAAAACAACUGUAAAGAAAAGCAAGGAAAGCUGGAAUGGAAAGAGGACUGAGUGAACUCAGAAGGAUGUGGCUCAGGCAGGCAUUUAAAGUUUACUGCUGUUUGGAUCAUUAACGCAAAUUCUGAAGAUGUGGACAAGCAGGAAGCUGGACAAGCCACUCUGAAGAAGCAUUUAGGAAAGAUGGAAUCAUCAAGCAAGGCUGGCUGGUCAUUAACUACAUAAUCUCCUUAAAUUGUUCCUUAAGAUAAACUUAAAGACACUGGUUUGGAACCAGAGUCAAGCUGCAGUCCACUUACCUGGGAAUUCAAAAGUACUCAUUUCUGAGCAUCUGUGGUUAGGAUUUCACUGCAAAUAACUUGAAUUUAGGGUGUUGUACACCACCACCCCUUCAUGGAACAGCAGGGCCAUUGCUGCGUCCAUAGUCCUGGGGGUGGGCAAGACAAUGAGAAGGGGCUAAGUCCAUAGAGCUGUACUGCUGAUAGGCAGAUACUCAGACAAUAGAAAUACAAUCGGUAGAGAGGGCUCUGUGUGAUGUCAUUUCCCCUGCAUCUUCUAGAUGGAAAGGAGCAUACAGUACUUCCUGUUCGUCUCUCUCUGUCCUUUGACCAGUGUUGGAUUCAAACAUGCCUCCACUUGAUCCAACUUUAGGCACAUGCCCACACCCUCCCAAGUGUCCUAUUUUCCAGGGACGUCCCUGAUUGAGAGAAGCCAUCCUGAUUUCUGAUUUGAUCCCAGAAUGUCCCACUUUUCCUUAGGAUGUCCCUAGUUUCAUUGGAGAAAUGUCAGAGGGUAUGGAGUUUUCCGACCCCUGAGUAUCUGAAGGCAAUCCUGUAUAAGGAAGUUUUUUUAAAAAAUGUUAAAUGUUUUGUUAUGUUUUUAUUUAUGUUGGAAGCUACCCAGAGUGGCUGGGGCAAUCCAGUAAGAUAUGUGGGGUAUAAAUAGUCAAAUUAUCAUUAUGGAAUGGGAUGUCCCUAUUUUCAUCAGAGAAAUGUUGGAGGGUAUGCAUGCCUGAAGCUGGUUAUACUAUAAAUAUAGAUAUUUUGCCUGCAUAGUUUUUACUGCUGCCAUUACUACGAACCAGUGUACGAUUAUAAGUAAAUUAUAUUUUUUUAACUUA